rnacentral:rRNA from 1 species
CAGUAGCCGCGGUAAUACAGAGGGUGCGAGCGUUAAUCGGAUUUACUGGGCGUAAAGCGUGCGUAGGCGGCUUUUUAAGUCGGAUGUGAAAUCCCUGAGCUUAACUUAGGAAUUGCAUUCGAUACUGGGAAGCUAGAGUAUGGGAGAGGAUGGUAGAAUUCCAGGUGUAGCGGUGAAAUGCGUAGAGAUCUGGAGGAAUACCGAUGGCGAAGGCAGCCAUCUGGCCUAAUACUGACGCUGAGGUACGAAAGCAUGAGGAGCAAACAGGAUUAGAUACCCGCGUAGUCCCUGUCUCUUAUAC